rnacentral:misc_RNA from 1 species
AUGGGAGGCAUGGAUCCAGGC